rnacentral:tRNA from 2 species
GCGGGUGUAGUAAGGAAGUUGCCUGCCGUCCUGAUCCCCCAGCGGCAGGCAAGCCGGUUCGAUUCCGGCCACCCGUG